GAUGAACGCUGGCGGCGUGCCUAAUACAUGCAAGUCGAGCGAACGGACGAGAAGCUUGCUUCUCUGAUGUUAGCGGCGGACGGGUGAGUAACACGUGGAUAACCUACCUAUAAGACUGGGAUAACUUCGGGAAACCGGAGCUAAUACCGGAUAAUAUUUUGAACCGCAUGGUUCAAAAGUGAAAGACGGUCUUGCUGUCACUUAUAGAUGGAUCCGCGCUGGAUUAGCUAGUUGGUAAGGUAACGGCUUACCAAGGCAACGAUGCAUAGCCGACCUGAGAGGAUGAUCGGCCACACUGGAACUGAGACACGGUCCAGACUCCUACGGGAGGCAGCAGUAGGGAAUCUUCCGCAAAGGGCGAAAGCCUGACGGAGCAACGCCGCGUGAGUGAUGAAGGUCUUCGGAUCGUAAAACUCUGUUAUUAGGGAAGAACAUAUGUGUAAGUAACUGUGCACAUCUUGACGGUACCUAAUCAGAAAGCCACGGCUAACUACGUG
rnacentral:rRNA from 1 species